rfam:Schistosoma haematobium scaffold705_60, whole genome shotgun sequence.
AUUCAGCUGAUGACUCCCAAAUAGGACUAAAAGCACGUCCUGGAU